rnacentral:rRNA from 1 species
GAUGAACGCUGGCGGCGUGCCUAAUACAUGCAAGUAGAACGCUGAAGGAGGAGCUUGCUCUUCUGGAUGAGUUGCGAACGGGUGAGUAACGCGUAGGUAACCUGCCUGGUAGCGGGGGAUAACUAUUGGAAACGAUAGCUAAUACCGCAUGACAACAGUUAUUGCAUGAUAACUGUUUAAAAGGGGCAACUGCUCCACUACCAGAUGGACCUGCGUUGUAUUAGCUAGUUGGUGAGGUAACGGCUCACCAAGGCGACGAUACAUAGCCGACCUGAGAGGGUGAUCGGCCACACUGGGACUGAGACACGGCCCAGACGCCUACGGGAGGCAGCAGUAGGGAAUCUUCGGCAAUGGACGGAAGUCUGACCGAGCAACGCCGCGUGAGUGAAGAAGGUUUUCGGAUCGUAAAGCUCGGUUGUAAGAGAAGAACGAGUGUGAGAGUGGAAAGUUCACACUGUGACGGUAUCUUACCAGAAAGGGACGGCUAACUACGUG